UGGGAUGUGGUUCAGUGGUAGAGCACUUGCCUAGCAUACACAAGGCCCUGGGUUCAAUCCUCAGCACCACAA
rnacentral:tRNA from 1 species